AUGAACGACAAUGCUAGUCCGGGUCCAGAUGUGUUCGGGCCGGCUUUCUACAAAGCUAACCGGGACCUUGUUAAACACGAUCUCUUGCACCUUCUCUCUUGCCUCCACGAUGGCACUGCUGAUCUUAAGCGCAUUAACAAGUCUUAUAUUGUCUUAAUCCCUAAACAGAUCGGGUCCUCUGAUCCUGACCAUCUGCGCCCUAUCUCUCUGCAAAAUUGCCCGGUUAAACUGUGCUCCAAAUGCAUUACUAAUCGUGUGCAACCUCUUAUCCCGGACCUUGUCCACCCUGACCAAUCAGGUUUUAUUAAAGGUCGUAAUAUAGCCGAAAACUUCAUUCUUGCCGCUGACAUCGUUCAAGCGUGCCACAAACGCAAAUGCCCGUCUAUUGUGCUGAAAUUAGAUUUCAAGAAAGCAUUCGACUCGGUCGCCUGGGGCUUCCUAUACUCCAUCCUAAACGCCAAAGGCUUCCCAGACAAGGUUAUUCAUUGGAUUAAGAUGUUAAAUAACUCCAGCCAAUCGGCGAUCCUUCUUGACGGUACCCCCGGCGUCUGGAUUCAAUGCAAACGUGGCCUCAGACAGGGCGACUCUUUAUCCCCCUACCUCUUCAUAAUCAUCGCCGACGUCCUACAACGCAUGUUCAUCGACGCUGCGUCCCACGGCCUCUUAGAGCACCCCAUCAUCCCCAACUCCCCCUGUCCUGUACUGUAG
rnacentral:rRNA from 1 species